GGGAGGGGCAGAAAGGAAAGUCAGAGCUGAGAAACACCGCCCUGGCUUGAAGUGUUGUUUGAUAAAAGCUGUUUUGUGGGGGCUUUGGGCAAGGGGGAACGGCUUCCCACUGCCAGAGGGUAGGGAUAGAUGGGAUAUUGGGGAGGAAUUGCUCCCUGAGAGGGUGAGGAGGCCCUGACACAGCUGUGGCUGCCUUUGGAUUCUGGAAGUGUCCAAGGCCACACUGGAGCAAGCUGGGAUAGUGGAAGGUGUCCCUGCCCUGGCAGCAGGGGGAAAUCUAAGGCACCUUCCACAGAAUCCUGGGAUUCUGUGCUCACAGCGGGCACAAAGUCGCCAUUCCCAUCGAGACUGACAUUUUGGGACUGCUGCUGACCCUGAAUGCUGAAUCCUGGAGCCAGGGAACUCCAUUAUUUAACCAGAGAGGUCUUUUCCCUCAGAGGAAGUUUACAGGAAAGGCACCCGGCUGCCACAUUAAGGAGCAAUCAACGACUCACAUUUGAUUAAAUCGAGGUUAAGAGCUGGAGCCUGCACCUGGCAGGAUGUAUGGGGAGUUAUUAAUAUCCCUGGAAACCUGAAAAUGCUGGAUGUGGCACACAGCUAUCCAGGGAAAAGCCUGACUGCUGCAAGAGCCAAGCCCAGAGAGCACAGCACCCUCACUCUUGGGAACAUAAGGCACAGAGGAAACAACUUUGCUAAAACUGGAAAAAUGACUUGUAAAAUCAGGGUUCACUACCUCCUCAGCUGAUGGGGAGGAUCUGCUGGGGAAUCCCCAAGUGACUCCUUGGGCACUGCCCCAUUUUCCUGCUGCAAGGGCAAAACCAGCAGCAACUUCUUUGGCAGCUCCUGACACUCCCUGGCUACUCUCCAGACCAAGCUUGCAGCCAGGGCAGUGCUGGAGCACCCAGAGCCAGUUUAUCCCUGGAUCCCCCUCCCCAGGGCAGUGCUGGAGCACCCAGAGCCAGUUUAUCCCUGGAUCCCCCUCCCCAGGGCAGUGCUGGAGCACCUACAGCCAGAUUAUUCCUAGAUGCCUGCUAAAGGAUCUAAGGAAGUACUCUAGAGCUGGAGGAUUCUGCGUGUCCCCGUCAGCCUGACUUAUCAAAAUGU
rnacentral:lncRNA from 1 species